rnacentral:rRNA from 1 species
GACGAACGCUGGCGGCGUGCUUAACACAUGCAAGUCGAACGGAAAGGCCCUGCUUUUGUGGGGUGCUCGAGUGGCGAACGGGUGAGUAACACGUGAGUAACCUGCCCUUGACUUUGGGAUAACUUCAGGAAACUGGGGCUAAUACCGGAUAGGAGCUCCUGCUGCAUGGUGGGGGUUGGAAAGUUUCGGCGGUUGGGGAUGGACUCGCGGCUUAUCAGCUUGUUGGUGGGGUAGUGGCUUACCAAGGCUUUGACGGGUAGCCGGCCUGAGAGGGUGACCGGCCACAUUGGGACUGAGAUACGGCCCAGACUCCUACGGGAGGCAGCAGUGGGGAAUAUUGCACAAUGGGCGGAAGCCUGAUGCAGCAACGCCGCGUGCGGGAUGACGGCCUUCGGUUUGUAAACCGCUUUCGCCUGUGACGAAGCGUGAGUGACGGUAAUGGGUAAAGAAGCACCGGCUCACUACGUG